CCUCCUCCUGUGGUGUUUCAAAACUGUGCUGGGAGAGGUUUGCUGCUGCCUGGGGAGUUUUUCUGAGGUUACUCCCGAGCACCCAAAGUCCUUCGGUCUGCAGCCAUACAGACACCCAGAGAAGCUACAGACAGGCAGAGGCUAUUUUCUGAUGAGGCUUCAUCAGCUUUGCUAAUCAGCUGGUUGAAAAUAAUCCCUCAAACACUACAGAGUCAAGGAUACAGGUAUUACAGGAUUUCCUGAGAGAAAAGCCGAGCAGGAGAGGAGGCCUAGCCCCCCAGGGCACCCCAGCCACACUAGCCUGUCCUGAUGCACAGCCAAGCGCUAUAAAAACGACUGCCUUUGUCCUUCUACCUCCCACCUUCUCAAAGCUCAGCCCUUACCGUCUAGCCCAGGCCCAAGGGACUGGUGAGUUGAUCUUUUGCUUUAAUGCUGAUAUUCAGUCUCAAGAGCUCCUAUGAAUGACCAUAAGCACAAAUAGUGUGCCCCUUCCCAAUGGGCUGGCUCAGAGCUGUGAUUCAUAUCGAAUCUUUCAUCUCUUGCCAAUAACUCAUAAGCUUGCUUGAGAAGGAAAGACCGAAGGUUUUAGGCUCACUAUUGAAAGAGGAAGAAUUUUAAGAGUGGCUUGCUACACUUGGUCCUUCAAUGUUGACUCUUUGGAGCUUGCUUGCAAUGGGAGGUUAUGUGGUUCUGUUCAGAUGCUGGCAUCAUGUAUACUUCCCAUGAUGCGAAAUCAGGUGUAAUUACACUGUGAAUGGAACCUUGGUAAAAAUGGAAUAGCUUAAUUGAAUUAAACUCUACUGUACUUGUAGACGAUGGCCAUAAUUCAGUCAAUAAGUUGAAUCAGUAGAGUCCUGUUUCCUACCAGGACCCUGUCUUCUAUUCCACCUUUUUUUUUCUUUUAACUAAGUUAAAACUUAACUGAAAAUGGCCGUCUUUCUUAUCUGAAAGGGGCUCACCAUGCACAGAGCACAUAUUUUAAUUUUUUCUUUUAUUCCCCUCUUUUGUUUAACCCCCUUCUGCCAUAGCAUAUAUCAAAUAAUGAUUUAAAGAACAGGUCUGAGACUAUGGCCCUUAGGCCAAAUCCUGUCUACCACUUGUUUUGUAAAUAAAGUUUUAUGGGCACACAGAGCAUCCAUUUGUUUAUGUAUGGUCUAUGCCUGUUCUCAUACUGCUUCAGAGUUGCAUAGUUGUGACAAGGACCAUAUAGCCCCCAAAGGUUUAAAUGUUUACUAGCUGGCCCUUUAUAGAAAAAGUGCGCUGACUCCCGAUUUAGUGUAUGUGUUGGAGUCAAACAUGCCUAAAUUCAAAUCAGAUCUUGGUUACUUGCUAGCUUGUAACAAGCUAGCUUUGACGUUGGAAAAGUGGCAUGACCUCUCUGAAACCUAAUCUGUACCAUGGGGAUAAUAGAGAAAUACCUACCUUGGAGGGUUGGUGUGAGAAUUCAGUGAGAUAGUAUUUGUAAAAACUACAACCCUGUGCCUGGCACAGAGCAAAUGCUAAUCCUAUGCAUUCAUUCCUUUAGUUCACAAAUGUAUAUCUAGUGGUUUCUCUGUUUUAAGCUGGCAGGACGGGAGAGAGGGGUGGCCAUGACAGUGAUUGACAUAGAAACUCCCUGCUCUCAUUAUGCUUACAUUCUAACAGGGAAGAUGGGCAAUAUAAAGAAAACAAAUCAAAGAUUGUUAUCAGAUAGUGACACGUGCUAUAAAUAAAAUAAAAUAGGAUAGCACAGAAGAAAGUGAUGAGGCAGGGAACAGGAAGUUGCUAAAUAAGCUAAGACCUAAACAUAAGACUGAGUCAUGUGCAUAUCCAGAAAAGGAAUGUUCCUAACAGCAGAGACAAAUAAGAAAUCCCUGAGCCAAGGAUGAGCUUGGGAUGGUUCAAGA
rnacentral:lncRNA from 1 species